UACGUAGGGUGCGAGCGUUGUCCGGAAUUAUUGGGCGUAAAGAGCUCGUAGGCGGCCUGUCGCGUCUGCUGUGAAAUCCCGGGGCUCAACCCCGGGCCUGCAGUGGAUACGGGCUGGCUGGAGGCAGGCAGGGGAGAACGGAAUUCCUGGUGUAGCGGUGAAAUGCGCAGAUAUCAGGAGGAACACCGGUGGCGAAGGCGGCACUCUGGGACGGUACUGACGCUGAGACGCGAAAGCGUGGGGAGCGAACAGG
rnacentral:rRNA from 1 species